UAAUUUACUUUAUUAUCCGCCAGAACACUACAAGCGCUAGCUUAAAAUCCAAAGGACUUGGCGGUGCUUCAGACCCACCUAGAGGAGCCUGUUCUAUAACCGAUAAUCCCCGUUAAACCCCACCACCUCUUGCCAUUACCGCCUAUAUACCACCGUCGUCAGCUCACCCUAUGAAGGAUUAAAAAGUAAGCAAAAAGAAUUAAACUCCCACACGUCAGGUCGAGGUGUAGCGAAUGAGAUGGAAAGAAAUGGGCUACAUUUUCUACUAAGAAAACACGGACAGUAAACUGAAAAAUACUCCAAGGGGGAUUUAGCAGAAGAAGAAAUAAGAAUAUUCUUCUGAAGCUGGCUCUGAAGCGCGCACACACCGCCCGUCACUCUCCUCGCCAUAAAUAUCAUCAUUAUAUAAAAAAAUUUUUUUAAAAGAGGAGGCAAGUCGUAACAUGGUAAGUGUACUGGAAAGUGCACUUGGAAUC
rnacentral:rRNA from 1 species